rfam:Schistosoma mansoni, Puerto Rico, WGS project CABG01000000 data, contig: 0115
AUCUAGCCGACGAGUCCCAAAUAGGAAGAAACGAUCGUUCUGGAU